GGGCCCGCACAAGCGGUGGAGCAUGUGGUUCAAUUCGAAGCAACGCGCAGAACCUUACCAGCCCUUGACAUGCCACGACGGUUUCCAGAGAUGGAUUCUUCCCCGCAAGGGGCGUGGACACAGGUGCUGCAUGGCUGUCGUCAGCUCGUGUCGUGAGAUGUUGGGUUAAGUCCCGCAACGAGCGCAACCCUCGCCCUUAGUUGCCAUCAUUCAGUUGGGCACUCUAAGGGGACUGCCGGUGAUAAGCCGCGAGGAAGGUGGGGAUGACGUCAAGUCCUCAUGGCCCUUACGGGCUGGGCUACACACGUGCUACAAUGGCGGUGACAGUGGGAUGCAAUGGAGCAAUCCUGCGCAAAUCUCAAAAAGCCGUCUCAGUUCGGAUUGUGCUCUGCAACUCGAGCACAUGAAGUUGGAAUCGCUAGUAAUCGCAGAUCAGCACGCUGCGGUGAAUACGUUCCCGGGCCUU
rnacentral:rRNA from 1 species